rnacentral:lncRNA from 1 species
CUUCCCCGCGGUUGAGAUUGAACACACCCCUUCUUGUGAAAUCUACUUUCUGACGUCACAACAGUAACAACGAUAAUGGCCACACGCUGUCCCACCGAAGCCUCACAGGGUGGUUAGGGACAUCCUUCCUCAGGUGAACAGCUUGAGGCCCAGAGAGGGGACUGGACUUGCCCCAGGUCGCACAACCAAAAAAACCGGAGCCAGACGCACGCUGUGUGGACACGAUGCCCUUGGUUCCCGUGGAUUCUGCGCUCCGCUGUUCGGGCCCGCUGUCCCCGUAUUGAUCAGGACCCAGGCAAGGGGCAGGGUGCGGCCAGGAUGGGAAUAAUGAGGGUCGAUGACUGAUUUGGCACGGACAGCCGGCAGCAGCUCAAGAGGAAGGUGUCUCCGUCGCCCCCAUUUUACAGAUGGGUAAGCUGAGGCACCGGGAGGUCAUACGGCCAGCUAAGCAGCCAGGUCGGGUAUUGACCUAGGUUUCUGUUGGCUCCAGGGACUUGAGGCUUAGCCGCUGCCGCGGGGGUGAGAAAACCGGAGCGCUUGACCCCCAGAGCACUUAACCGGAUGUCAGCUUCCAGGCCAGGAACCAGCUGAGUCAGCCCCUGAACCCCAGCUGGGACGUGCUGGUCUAUGCCUGCUAUUCAGCAGAGGGACGGAGGCACAGAGAAGUGGAGGAUGGGCCGCAGUGGCCGGGAAGUGACAGAGGCCGACUUUGCACACGGCCUGUCUGGCUCCUGGGCCCCAGCGCUCCACUUGAUAGCUUCGGUGGGAGAGAGGACUGCCGUUGCCAUGGCCAUCGGCCCACCCCCAUGGGCCAGGCAACGCAGUUAAAGAGCCCUUGAAGGGUUUCUCUGCACAGGGCCUUAGCUGCCAAGAGGGGGCAGUUUUAACGGGCCUCCCCGGGAUGCCAGGUGCACUCAGGCUGGUGGGACGGGAUGGGUGCCCGGGUAUGAGGCAAAUACCACCCCAACCCACAGAUUUAAAAUUCCUCCCUGGAAAAUCAGAUAAUCAAGGAAGUCAACUACCGUGAAAUGAGUAUGAUCCCUGCCAGAAACCCAGAGGGAGCAUCAGAACAUCAUCGCGUGGCAAGUACAGGCGGGUGACCCACCCCCUCGUUUUGCAGGCAGGGAAACUGAGGCACAGAACAUAGCAGGGAGAGUCGCACAGAGAGGAUCCCUUCUCCUUGCCCAGCACGUAUGGAGGGCCUCCUGUGUGGCGGACUCUGUCGACCCCCCUUCUGUGGCUACGCCCUUGAGCUCCGGGCCUGCCGAGAACGCUCCCCUGUGUGGCAGUAAUCUUACCGUUGUUCGCUUCUGACCCAGGAGGGUUUCCUCGAGGAGGAGACAUCUAAGCUGAGACCUGAUCUUAAGGAGGAGUCAGUGAAGCUGGUGAGAAGAACAUUUCAGGCGGCAGGGAAGACAUGUGCAAAGGUCCUGCGGCAUGAAGGGGUUUGGCUCAGGAGAGUAAAGAAACCAGAAGCCUGCGGCAAGAGUAAGGGGGGCAGUGCAUGGCGG